rnacentral:rRNA from 1 species
UAACGGCCGCGGUAUCCUAACCGUGCAAAGGUAGCGUAAUCACUUGUCUUCUAAAUAAAGACUAGUAUGAAAGGCAUCACGAGGACUAACCUGUCUCCUCUUUCUAAUCAGUGAACCUAAUCUUCCUGUGAAAAAGCAGGAAUUUUGCUAUAAGACGAGAAGACCCUAUGGAGCUUUAAACAUCAUGACAACUGCUUUUAUAUAAACUACUCCGGUUCCUGUAUUUCACAGCACUAUGUUCAUAUGUUUUUGGUUGGGGUGACCAGGGAGAAAAAAAAAUCCUCCCUAAUGAAAGAGCCCUCCCCUCUAAACAAUAAGCCACAGCUUUAUGAAUCAACAAAUUGACAACAUGACCCAAUAUAUUGAUUAAUGAACCAAGUUACCCUAGGGAUAACAGCGCAAUCCACUUUGAGAGCCCCUAUCGACAAGUGGGCUUACGACCUCGAUGUUGGAUCAGGGUUUCCAAGAGGUGCAGUCGCUUCUUAAGGUUCGUUUGUUCAACGAUUAAAACCC